rnacentral:rRNA from 1 species
CCUGAACGCUGGCGGCGUGGCUAAGACAUGCAAGUCGUACGGACCCGCAAGGGUCAGUGGCGAACGGGUGAGUAAUGAAUCGCUAAUGUGCCCCGGACUCAGGGAUAGCUAUCCGAAAGGGUAGGUAAUACCUGAUGAUAUAACUUUGUCGCAUGGCAGAGUUCUCAAAGGUCCGCCGGUCUGGGAGCAGGCGAUUUCGUAUCAGCUAGUUGGUAGGGUAACGGCCUACCAAGGCGACGACGCGUAGCCGGACUGAGAGGUUGGCCGGCCACAUUGGGACUGAGACACUGCCCAGACUCCUACGGGGGCUGCAGUAACGAAUCUUCCGCAAUGCACGAAAGUGUGACGGAGCGACGCCGCGUGUGGGACGAAGUCCUUC